rnacentral:rRNA from 1 species
GGCGGCGUGCUUAACACAUGCAAGUCGAACGGUAAGGCCCUUCGGGGUACACGAGUGGCGAACGGGUGAGUAACACGUGGGUAAUCUGCCCUGCACAUCGGGAUAAGCCUGGGAAACUGGGUCUAAUACCGAAUAGGACCACAGAACACAUGUCCUGUGGUGGAAAGCUUUUGCGGUGUGGGAUGGGCCCGCGGCCUAUCAGCUUGUUGGUGGGGUGAUGGCCCACCAAGGCGACGACGGGUAGCCGGCCUGAGAGGGUGUCCGGCCACACUGGGACUGAGAUACGGCCCAGACUCCUACGGGAGGCAGCAGUGGGGAAUAUUGCACAAUGGGCGAAAGCCUGAUGCAGCGACGCCGCGUGGGGGAUGACGGCCUUCGGGUUGUAAACCUCUUUCACCAUCGACGAAGGUUCGGGUUUUCUCGGAUUGACGGUAGGUGGAGAAGAAGCACCGGCCAACUACGUGCCAGCAGCCGCGGUAAUACGUAGGGUGCGAGCGUUGUCCGGAAUUACUGGGCGUAAAGAGCUCGUAGGUGGUUUGUCGCGUUGUUCGUGAAAUCUCACGGCUUAACUGUGAGCGUGCGGGCGAUACGGGCAGACUUGAGUACUGCAGGGGAGACUGGAAUUCCUGGUGUAGCGGUGGAAUGCGCAGAUAUCAGGAGGAACACCGGUGGCGAAGGCGGGUCUCUGGGCAGUAACUGACGCUGAGGAGCGAAAGCGUGGGGAGCGAACAGGAUUAGAUACCCUGGUAGUCCACGCCGUAAACGGUGGGUACUAGGUGUGGGUUUCCUUCCUUGGGAUCCGUGCCGUAGCUAACGCAUUAAGUACCCCGCCUGGGGAGUACGGCCGCAAGGCUAAAACUCAAAGAAAUUGACGGGGGCCCGCACAAGCGGCGGAGCAUGUGGAUUAAUUCGAUGCAACGCGAAGAACCUUACCUGGGUUUGACAUGCACAGGACGCCGGCAGAGAUGUCGGUUCCCUUGUGGCCUGUGUGCAGGUGGUGCAUGGCUGUCGUCAGCUCGUGUCGUGAGAUGUUGGGUUAAGUCCCGCAACGAGCGCAACCCUUGUCUCAUGUUGCCAGCGGGUAAUGCCGGGGACUCGUGAGAGACUGCCGGGGUCAACUCGGAGGAAGGUGGGGAUGACGUCAAGUCAUCAUGCCCCUUAUGUCCAGGGCUUCACACAUGCUACAAUGGCCGGUACAAAGGGCUGCGAUGCCGCGAGGUUAAGCGAAUCCUUUUAAAGCCGGUCUCAGUUCGGAUCGGGGUCUGCAACUCGACCCCGUGAAGUCGGAGUCGCUAGUAAUCGCAGAUCAGCAACGCUGCGGUGAAUACGUUCCCGGGCCUUGUACACACCGCCCGUCACGUCAUGAAAGUCGGUAACACCCGAAGCCAGUGGCCUAACCCUUUGGGAGGGAGCUGUCGAAGGUGGGAUCGGCGAUUGGGACGAAGUCGUAACAAGGUAGCCG